rnacentral:lncRNA from 1 species
AGGAACUAAAUUAGGGAAGAUUAUAAAGGCAAAUUAAUUAGUUUUACCAAAAAAGAAUGAUUAAAAAUUGGUCAAGAUCUAAAAUUACAAAUGCAAGAUAUCAAUGCUAAAAAGGAUCGAGAUCUUUUUGCUGCCAAUUUGACAUAAAAAGUAAUAAUUCUCCCUUGAAAACAUGAUGCUCUGCAAAACCAAAAAAUAAUAAAAAGAACGCCCUUGAAUAUUAUAAUAAACAAAAAUAUAGAAAAGGAGAGGAAGAACAAAAAUCAGAAAACAAAGUGGGUAAAACAAUAAAAUAUUAUAGAUGUGGAAAAUCGAAACAUAUCUCAAAAUAUUAUAAGAUUAAGAGAAAAAAUAAUAAUUUAAGUCGAGAUAAAGAAAUAGAAUAAAUCUGUUAAAAAAUCUUACCUCUAAAGAUGAAACAUCAACCCAAUAGAUAAAUUACAUACAACCACCCAAUGUUGUGAAGAUGAAUAUAGUUCCAAUAAAAAAAAGGGUGCGCUCACUAAUGCCACAUUGACUAUACUUGAAAUUGUAAUUGCUGAUGUUAGUAUAGUUGCAAAGAGGAGGCCUUCAGAAUUUAACUUCUGUAAAAUAAAAGUAAAUGUGUGUUAUUAAUAAUGAAAACAUAGUGCUUACAACAUGAGAAAUAAAAU